CCUACGGGAGGCAGCAGUGGGGGAUAUUGCACAAUGGGGGGAACCCUGAUGCAGCGACGCCGCGUGGGUGAAGGAGCGUUUCGGCGCGUACAGCUCUAUCGGCAGGGAAGAAGGUGACUGUACCUGGCCAAGAAGCCCCGGCUAACUACGUGCCAGCAGCCGCGGUCAUACGUAGGGGGCAAGCGUUAUCCGGAUUUACUGGGUGUAAAGGGGGCGCAGACGGCAAUGCAAGCCAGGAGUGAAAGCCCUGGGCCCAACCCCGGGACUGCUCUUGGAACUGCAUGGCUGGAGUACAGGAGGGGCAGGCGGAAUUCCUAGUGUAGCGGUGAAAUGCGUAGAUAUUAGGAGGAACACCGGUGGCGAAGGCGGCCUGCUGGACUGUGACUGACGUUGAGGCCCGAAGGCGUGGGGAGCAAACAGGAUUAGAUACCCGUGUAGUC
rnacentral:rRNA from 1 species